rnacentral:tRNA from 1 species
GGGAAGAUGGCUCAGUGGUAGAGUGCUUGCCUUGCAUGCACGAGGCCCUGGGUUCGAUUCCUCAGUACCA